rnacentral:rRNA from 1 species
UACGUAGGGUGCGAGCGUUAAUCGGAAUUACUGGGCGUAAAGCGUGCGCAGGCGGUUUUGUAAGCCAGAUGUGAAAUCCCCGGGCUUAACCUGGGAAUGGCAUUUGGGACUGCAAGGCUGGAGUGCGGCAGAGGAGACUGGAAUUCCUGGUGUAGCAGUGAAAUGCGUAGAUAUCAGGAGGAAUACCGAUGGCGAAGGCAGGUCUCUGGGCUGACACUGACGCUCAUGCACGAAAGCGUGGGGAGCAACAGG